rfam:Eggerthella lenta DSM 2243, complete genome.
GGGGGCGACUGGUUUCGACAUGGUACGUUUGAAAUGAGGAGCAGGUCGUGGUCUCCUCGCCACGUUAAACAGGGGUACCGUCAAUUUAAUUGGCAAGAACAACACUCAGAGCGCUCCGGCGCUCGCCAUGGCUGCUUAAUAGCGCCUGGCUGUCGGCCUUGGGACUUCCCCGCCCCUCGGUCCGGCAUCAACCUAGGGGAAUGCGCUUGAGCACGUAGCCGGUAUGGCUCAGGCAAAGAUCGAACCGGCUAGGGUGCGUCUCGCUUGUCCGCGGGCCGGCCGCAUCCGAAUCCCGACCACGGACUAAGCUUGUAGAGCCUCAUGGAGAAGGUAGUAUGGACCGGAGUUCGAUUCUCCGCGCCUCCACCA